GCACGAUCAAUUGAUUCAUGAAGAAUUUGUUCGAUAACCUCAUUUAAUAGUGGUAUAUAGAGACCACUUGUCUGAAGCCACUUUUGACGGUCCAUAUUAAUAUACUCAUUUGUGAUUGAAUCCUCACACGAAUGGUACUUGAACAAAUGUUCAAUGUUGAGAAACUCUUUUUCAGACUCAAGAAUAUUGGGGUAAUGAGGUGCAUGAAACACCUUUUUUAAUACCCAUUCUUCAGAACCUACUUCUGACAAAUAAGGCUCAUAUGAAUUACAUAUAAUAUCUGUCACUUUCCUGGAAAUCAAUUCAUCUGUGAUUGGCGUUCUCCAGGAAUUAGAUGUAUCAUCUCUCCAUUCUUGUACCAACUCUCUUAUAAGGUCAAUAAUUAGCAGGAUAAAGUUAUCAUCGGGAGGAUAGAUUUCCCCUCGAAUAGAUGACUUGAACCCUAGAUAGCUUGGAUCUUUCAUCACCUUUUCGUGAAUAAAGAAAAGAAGGUCCUCUUCGCUUAGCUCGUAAUAAGCUAAAGCUUCAAUACCUAUGCUAGCUUUGCUUUCCCCCAUAUUAUUUUCGGUACUUCUCUCCAUUUGCUCUAAAAUGAGCUCGGGCAACCUAUUAAAGAUAAUAUUGCAUAAAUUAAUUAUGGAGCUUUCUGACAUGUCAAUUAACUCAUCAUAACACCUGGGAAUUGACUCGAUAUUUUUGUAGUAAAACUCCUCUAAAUUCAAUCCGUCCAAAUUCAACUCAUAAUAAUUCCCAGAGCUUGCAUUUUCAAACCAAUAAUUGUACUCUUCAAUUUUACUUCUAAGUUCUUCAUCUCCCGAGGUGAAAUAUUCAAUAUUUUGUAGUCUAUCCAUAUUGAUAUCCUUCUUAUUUUCGGGAGAGUUCCUUUCUGAGUUGCUAGCACAAGAGUUCAAAAUCGAUAGUCCAUUUUCAUUUGAAAGAUCAAUGUUUUCAAUCGGCAAGUUUUCGAUUCUCUUAAUCAAACUUUCAUUCACCAUAGUUAUAUCUUCCAGCUUGUCAGUUAUUUUGCUGAUCUCUUCGACUGUAACCUCACCGUCCUUAAGGAUUUUAAUAGGUUCCAGAGGAGAAUCCUCCAGUCCAUGCUUUCGUUUGGAAGUCUGCUCAUCUUCGAUAGAAACUACAUUUAAAGUAAUUUUGUCAUCAAGAGCCUUCUGAGGAUCUGUAAUUACAACAGAUAAACAUUCAGUAGCAUCUUCACUUGGAGAAUUACGCACAUCUUUGUUUGAAGGCGUUUUUUGAGCCUCAUCAAUGUAAUCGUUCUCUAAUUCAUGAACGAGCAUCGGAUCCAUUAUUUUAAUUUGCAAAUCUAAAUUAUUCAAAUCACUUUCGGAAACAAUUUCUGGCUCUAUAACUUCUUUUGAAUCUGAAGCAACAGCUUCUGGUGGUACUAAAUGGUCAAAUUGAACUAUUUCAUCAACUGAGCCUUCUAACUUUAUUUGUUUUUCAAUAGGCUCCUGAUCAAUUUGAGAAUUUAGUUCCAAAAUAGACUUGGUAGUGGUAUGUUGAUUUUCACCACUAUUCGGUUCUUUAAUUUCAGAAUAUUCGUAUCUUACUGGGGGUAUACAUGGUAUGAAUGCCUGUUCAACUUCAUUGCUCUGAUAACCAACAACAGGUUUGUCGUAAAUUUCCUUUAUAUGAUCUUGCUUCAAAUCCUUAUUGAAUCCAAUAUUUCUAUAGUGAAUAAAUGGUGUGUCCAAUUCCCAAUGUCGUUUAAUUUUGUGAGUACUUUCCUUUGAGUUAUUUUCAUCACUGGCUUCCUCAGAUAAACACUCUUCUGGCCCAAUAUUCUUAUUCAAAGUAUUUGAAUGCUCUAUUUGAGCCUGAAUUAAUUUCUCGUAAAUCAAAGAGCUAGAGAUAGGCGUGGAACUAACUUCACUUAUUUUUCUAGUUAAUUUCUUACUAUCAU
rnacentral:antisense_RNA from 1 species